rnacentral:lncRNA from 1 species
ACAUGUCCUUAACCUUGGCACAACAAAUCUCUAAAUCGAUUGAGACCUGUCUCAGAUACUUCUUGGUUUACAAGAUGGAGGCUGAAAUUAAAGAGAAAGAUCCUCACUCAACUCACAGAGGAGCAGAAUGGGAAGAGGACUUAGUGAGAAUUCCCUGAACACAGGAGAAAACCGAAGCCCAGAGAGUGGAUGGCCAAGUCCAAGGUCACACAGCCAAGUGCAUCCGAGCAGCGCAGGAUCCAGGUUUCCUGCCCCAGUGCUCUUUCUGCAGCCCAUGCCACCUGUUUUCAUGCUAUCUCAGUUCACCUUCCAGCUACACACCUGCAAUCAGAAACAGAAAGUCUGAGAGAGUGUGUGGAGCCAAAGAGGGGACAGCAGUGGUGAGGCCAGUUUCAUGUCUUGUGAUUUAUUUUCUCCCUUUCUUUUUGGACUUUAAUCUUAAGUGGACAGCAAUUUGGAACAGUGUCAGCACCUUGUUGGAUUGUGCUGUUUGGGAGAGGUGACACAGAGUAUUUUAAAGGAGCAGGUUAAGAACUUUUCAUAAGGAAUCAAUUGAGAGAAAAUAAAAUAGAAACAGACUGUCCCACAUUUGGGCUGAGCACCAAACACAUUUUUUUUUUUUUUUUUUUGAGACUGAGUCUUGCUCUGUCACUCAGGCUGGAAUGCAGUGGCGCGAUCUCGGCUCACUGCAGCCUUCGCCUCCCGGGUUCAAGUGAUUCUUCUGCCUCAGCCUCCCAAGUAGCUGGGAUUACAGGUGCCCACCACCAUGCCAGGCUAAUUUUUGUAUUUUUAGUAGAGACGAGGUUUCACCAUGUUGGCCAGGCUGGUCUUGAACUCCUGACCAAGUGAUCCACCUGCUUCGGCCUCCCAAAGUGCUGGGAUUACAGGCACGAGCCACUGCACCUGGCCUCAAACAAGCUUUUUAAUUGCAUUCAGAAGUGCACCAACUAGGCACAGACCUCUGGCAUGGAGACAGAAUGGGCGGUUCUUGGUGUCUGGCCUGGUCUUGCAGAAAUCAGGGAGUUGCGGGGACCAGGCAGCCACUGUGCAUCAGAUAGGAGUUUCAGCAGCAGGCAACAGAAAGCCUGCCAAUGUAGCUGAAAUAAGAAGGGCUUAUUUUUAUCCCUGAACAGAAGCUUCCAGCACUGGUUCAUCAGAUCAGGGCACUGAGCUGGCAUCCCCAUUUACACAGUUUUCCUUUCCUUCACCUUUGUAAGAUGCCUGGCACAGCUCUGAGCAUCAAAUAUCUGUGCCAUGUGGGAGCACACGAGGGGACAAGUGGGGAAUAGGGUCUCCUCUGUCCUCUGUCCCCAGGCUGGCUUCUCUCAUGGUAGAAGGACCCCCACAGCACCAGGCCUCAUAACUACCCUGCUGGUAAACUGCAGGUGCUGUCACGGCUUCCUGCCUUCGUAUAUGAAAUGUUCCUUGGCAGUUGGACUGCUGUUUGUUUACCGCACGCACAGCUCUGCUGCGUCUUGGUUACACCAGUGAGCUAUUGCUCCAUGACAAGCCACACCGAAAUGUAGCAAGCACUUAUUGUUGCCCACAUGUCUCAAGUCAGUUGAGUGUUUCUGCCAAUCGGGGCCUGGCUUGGCCCACCUUGGCUGAGCUUGCUCUGGUGCUAGGGUCAGCUAGACAGGUCGGCAGGGGAGACCAGCUGCUCUAGAAGAGCCUGGACAGGAUGAAUUGGUUCUCCUUCCACAUGCAUCUUGCAUCCCUCUAGCCAAGGAUUUGAACCCAGGUCUCGUCUGACUCCAAAUGCACCAAGAGGAUGGAGCCCAGAGUGACACAGAGGAAGAGGCCCCUGGAUGGAUGCAUGGGGAAGAUCACGGGAAUUACAAGUGACAUACUGAAGUAUGAUCACAAAUGUUUCAAAUUAAGCCUUCCUGCUAAGUUUCCAGAGGUGUGUGGCUUGGAUGAAGUGUUUCCAGACCCCGAUCUACUGCAUGUCCUGCCUGUUGCUGGUUCUUUGCAGCAGUCCAUUGACCAAUGCUGUCUACAGCUUGAGAGCCUCUGCAGGCCAGGGCUGCUCUGUGCACAUCCUACGUUACUAUUCAAACUGCACAGCAGCAUGAAAAACAGGCCCUUCUUUUCUCUCAUUUACACGUAUGUGAAGAAGACACAACAAGUGAGAAAACGUGACCGAAAGCCAUGUGGACAGGUGGCCGCAGGGCCAAACCCAACUUCCAUGAUGUGAUCUGGCUACAGUUUGGAGCCCACAUAUUUCAAUAGUUAUCCCCAGGCCUGGCACGUCAAAGAGGCUCCAGAAAUGUUUGCUGAGUUAGAAGCAAGGCACAAGUCAUACCUACAUUCAAGGAGAGGGGACCAUGCAAAGGAUAAACUGCAGAGAGACAACAGAUUUACAUCCCAGACACACUGGGCCAAGAGCAGCUGCCAUUGCAGAUUCGAGUCACGUCCUUUUUUCCCUCCUUCUCCUUCUUGGAGUUACAACAGAAGCUGGGGAGGUGAGAGUGCAGAAAGGACGUGGAUGAAGCAGAGAGGCACGUGCCUGUCUCAUUCGCCUCUGGAUCUGCUGCACCCAGGACCGUGCCAGCACAAAGUGGGAGCCCGAUAAAUAUUUAUUGAAGAAAUGAAAGGUGACAAAAGGCAGGAGGGAGACCCCCAAAAGAGUUACACUGGAAGAAGAGCCCCUCCUUCCUUCAAGCCAAGUCAUCCCCUUGGGCUCUCACCACUGUGCUUGCCUUCAGUUUAUACCUUGCCUGUAGUCCAGUCUCUCCAGCAUCAAUUCCAUCAGCACAAAGACAUAAUUGAAUUCCUUCUACCUUAAAAAAACAAAACAAAACAAAAAACAGCUCUCGCUCUCUUAGGGUGAGAUGAAGUGGUUGGCAACAGGCCAAUGCUACUUUCAGAGGCGUUUGAAUCAGAGUGACUCCAUUUUGAAUAGGGGUUGAGUAAAAUAAGGCUGAGACCUACUGGGCUGCAUUCCCAUGAGCUUAGGCAUUCUAAGUCACAGGAUGAGACAGGAGGUCAGCACAAGAUACAGGUCACACAGACCUUGCUGAUAAAACAGAUUGUGAUAAGAAAAGCCAGUCAAAACCCACCAAAACCAAGAUGGCAACAAAAGUGAUCUCUGGUUGUCCUCACUGCUGAUUAUUCACUAAUUAUAAAAUUAACAUGAUAAAAGACACUCCCACCAGCACCAUGACAGUUUGCAAAUGACAUGGACACAUCAGGAAGUUACCCUAUAUGUCUAAAAGGGGAGGAGCCCUCUGUUCCAAUUGUCCACCCCUUUCCUGGAAAACUCAUGAAUAAUCCACCCCUUGUUUAGCAUAUAAUCAAGAAAUAACCAUGAAAAUAGCCAACCAGCAGCCCUCAGGGCUGCUUUGCCUAUGGAGUAGCCAUUCUAUAUUCCUUUACUUUCUUAAUAAACUUGCUUUCACUUUA